rnacentral:lncRNA from 1 species
AUGACAGCGUUGCCUAGCUCCUCUCUCAGGCAUGGGAGAAGGUCUCUCUCCUCCUUGUAUUUCUGGGCUUGUGGAGAAUGUGACGCACCGGACCCAACGGGGUGUGACCCUCUGAGACUGGCUUUCUCACGCGAGCACUUUCCAGAGCUGCAGUCGUGCUGGGAUACGGCGUCGAGCACGCGGUCGGGUUCCUUACGUCUGCCCUAUGCCUCCGUUUCUUCACCUGCAAAACGGGGACAAUCCCAUCUAUGUCACAAGGCCGCGGCCUGCAGCUCGGACUGUCGUCAUCUGUCACGACGGAGCUGCUGCUGCCAUCGGUCUUGUCGCCUUGACUCCUCCGGCACAUCGGGCGGUGAGCCCCUUGCGCCUUCGGCCACACCGAAGUCCUGGCCCGGUCCUCGGUCCUCGCGGCCUUGCUGGGCGGGGGAGGGGCUGCAGCUGCAGGACGCCGACCGCAAGGACACUUUGCUGAGAGGGGACGGCCACUUAGAGGAAGGCACUGGAAGAUGGCGCUGCACGGGGCUGGCCUUGCGCUGGGGACCUGGGGACACGCGUUCACACCGUCUGUGGAGAGCGGGUAAAAAUGCUUUGUUGUUCCAUCUGAAUCCCCGACGGCCGCCGUCCAACCUCCAGCGCACGUCGGCUCUGCAGUUAACUGAGCAGAUACUACAGGAUCCAUCUGCACAGCGACGCGCUCCAGCAGGUCCAGCCCGCUCGCCGGGGGAGCUCACCCGGCACUUGGAAUGCGUCCCCCACAGCACACCUCUAACCGAGCAGAAGCAUCUGAUCCCCCAGCUGGAGUGAUAGUGGAGAUUUUGUCGCCAGAUGUUCUGCUUUACUACCUUCUGGAGGAGGUAUUUUCAUCCAUAAACCCGUAUUCACUUUGCACUGAUCACCUUCCUGAACUUACAUUUCGGAGAUAUACUUAGGACGAUAUAAUCGGCAGUAGUCAAAGUGGAGCAUUCUUUUCUUUAAAUAAAAAUUUCUUAAAAUAAAAAUUUUGUCUUGUU